ncrna:Aedes aegypti bantam stem-loop (aae-bantam)
AGAACCGGUUUUCAUUUUCGAUCUGACUUAUUUGAUUUAACAAGAGUGAGAUCAUUUUGAAAGCUGAUUUU